rnacentral:rRNA from 1 species
AGCGAACGCUGGCGGCAGGCCUAACACAUGCAAGUCGAACGAAGUCUUCGGACUUAGUGGCGGACGGGUGAGUAACACGUGGGAACGUGCCUUUAGGUUCGGAAUAACUCAGGGAAACUUGAGCUAAUACCGGAUGUGCCCUUCGGGGGAAAGAUUUAUCGCCAUUGGAGCGGCCCGCGUCUGAUUAGCUAGUGGGUGAGGUAAAGGCUCACCAAGGCGACGAUCAGUAGCUGGUCUGAGAGGAUGAUCAGCCACAUUGGGACUGAGACACGGCUCAAACUCCUACGGGAGGCAGCAGUGGGGAAUCUUGCGCAAUGGGCGAAAGCCUGACGCAGCCAUGCCGCGUGAAUGAUGAAGGUCUUAGGAUUGUAAAAUUCUUUCACCGGGGACGAUAAUGACGGUACCCGGAGAAGAAGCCCCGGCUAACUUCGUGCCAGCAGCCGCCGUAACAC